UUACCAAAGUAUUAGUUGGAUCGGGAAGACAUGAAGGAACCCUCAGUCUCAGCUCAGCUUUUCGUUUCAGCCUUCAACCCUAAAUCGACUACUCCCUCUCCCUACAGUUCCUCUCCGUCGCUCGACUCUCCGGCUCCGACUCUCUCUUUACCGGCGGCCAUAUCAAGGAGACUCAGCGAUGUGAAUUGUCCAAAACCUGGUACUGACGGCUCUUCAGGCAAGGAAAAAUCAAAAUCUAGGAUUGCUGAGGCAUCCCCGGUCUCUGAGAAGUCACCUGAAACACACCAUGCUGGAGUGCUGGAAUUAAAUUACAAAAUUUUGGCACAUUCGAGUGGGAGAUCAAGUGAGGAUAUUAGGAGUGUAAUUUGUCUGCUUUUGGAUAGAUAAAUUUUUUAGUUCGUGGACCGUAUUAGUCCAUUAUGGACGUGUUGUGAGGAAAUAAUACAUUUUGUUAUGUGAGAUCGUAUUAUGGAUGGAUUAAUGAGACAUUAUUUUUUAUUGUUGUGGAUUAAUCUAAAUUUAUGUCGAUAUUAUAUUUACCGUGAUUA